CCCUUAUUUUCAGAACCUUUCAUCCAAGAGCGAUGUGAGAGCAUUUCUGAAGCUUUUCUUGAAAAAAAAAUGGCAUCUCUAGGUGAAGGUCGUUGGUGAGUGAAGCUGUUGGUGAAGCUCGUUCAGGAAAACAACAAGGAACAGCCAGCUCGUUUUUUUGUGUAGUUUGUUAAUUCGUCUUAAAGAAGUCACAAAAGAUACAAGAAGCCAACUCUUGGUAAAGUAGAACUGUAGAAGAAUCGGUUAGAAACUCUGUGUUCUCGUCUCAGUGUCGCUGCGUAAAAAGGGAUCUACUAUUAAUGCUGUCAAUUUUUGGUGUUGAAUUGAUAUGAAGGUUUGACAUUCGAUGAAUCUAAAAGUUCGAAAUGUUAAGUACUGUCGAUAUUGCUUGUACUCAUGAAAUUAUUUGUCUUUAAUGUUUUGCUCAUGUCAUGCAUGUAGGAUAUAUAUGCAAUGGAUUUGGGAGAUAAAAGUUGGAUGAAUCUCCGAAGAUCCACCAAUGAAUAUAUUCAUGGAGUUAGUGAUUUUCUUGAUAAAGCAUUUGAACGGGCUUCCCAAGGAAAUGAAAUAUUGUGUCCUUGUAAGAAGUGUUUUAAUCAUAAUUUGCAUUGUCGAAAUAUGGUAGAGGAUCACUUGAUUUGUCAUGGAUUUAUUCAUGGAUACACCAAAUGGGUUUUUCAUGGAGAAGGAUUUUUCUCAAGAAAUACGCCACAUCCAACCAAUGAUGAAGACACUUCUAACAUGCAUGACGACAUUGAUAUACUACUUCAUGAUACUUUUAGAGAUGUAGUAGAUGACCAGAGACAUGAAGGAGUGAGAGAGGGGCCACCUGAAGAUGCAAAGAGAUUUUUUAAAUUAGUGGAGGAAGGGAAAGAAGAGUUGUACCCGGGGUGUAAGAAUUUUUCUAAGUUGAGUUUUACCAUCCGGUUAUACUUGUUUAAAUGCAUUCACAAGUUGACUGAUGUGGAAUUUUCAGAUUUGCUGCACUUGAUAAGAGAGGCGUUUCCAUUUGCUCAGAUACCCAAGUCGUUUACAAGGCAAAAAAGGUCAUAAAUGAUUUGGAUUUUCAUUAUGAGAAAAUCCAUGCUUGCACUAACGAUCGCAUGUUAUUUUGGAAUUAUAAUGCAACAUUAGAUAAUUGCUCUGUAUGUGGAGCUUCAAGAUGGAAGAAUGUUCGUAAUGACUUAACUAAUAAGGUCACUAAAAUACCAGUGAAGGUUUUAAGGUACUUUCCUUUAAAGCCUAGACUUCAGAGGAUAUUCAUGUGUUUGAAAACUUCUGUAGCUAUGAGAUAGCAUGAUACUGAAUGACUUAAAGAUGGAAAUUUAAGACAUCCUGCAGAUGGUGAAGCUUGGAAGGGUUUUGAUUUCUUGCAUCCUCACUUUGCUAAUGAUUUUCGUGAUGUUAGAUUGGGUCUUUCAAGUGAUGGUUUCAAUCCGUUCAGAACUAUGAACAUUUCCCAUAGCACAUGGCCAGUUAUGUUGAUGAACUAUAAUUUAUCACCAUGGACUUGCAUGAAGUCAGAGAAUAUUAUGUUGUCAAUGAUUAUUACAGGUCCAUCAUCUCCGGGAAAUGACAUAGAUGUAUACUUGCAACCACUGAUUGCGGAGUUGAAGGAACUAUGGGAAGUGGGAGUUGAAACAUAUGAUGUUGUAACUAAUCAAACAUUUCAAAUGCGUGCAACUUUAUUAUAGACAAUUAGUAAUUUUCCAGCUCUAGCAAUGUUUUCUGGAUGGAGCACCAAGGGGAGAUGGGCAAUGCUCCACUUGUAAUCAUAAUACUUGUUCUCAAUAUCUCAAACAUAGUCGUAAGAUGUGUUACUUGGGUCAUCAGACAUUUUUCCCUCCUGAUCUUCCAUUCAGAAGAGAUAAAAAAUCAUUCAAUGGUAAAGAGGAGCAUAAAGUUGCACCUACUCUAUUGUCAGGGGCACAAGUUCUUGAAGAGCUUCAUGAAUUCAAUAAUGUUUUUGGAAAGAACAAAAAGAAAAGAAAACGAAAGAAUGAUGGUCCAUGGAAAAAAAUCCAUAUUUUUUGAGUUGCCGUAUUGGGCAACAAACAAAUUGAGGCACAAUCUUGAUGUGAUGCACAUAGAGAAGAAUAUUUGUGACAGUUUGCUUGGGACUUUAUUGGAUAUACUUGGAAAGUCCAAAGAUCAUACAAAUUCUCGCUAUGACUUGUUGAAAUGGGGAUACGUAAAGAGCUACAACCUCUAAAAGAUUGUGAUACAGGAAAUAUCCAUCUAGCUAAAGCUUGUUUCUCUAUGACACCAGAUGAGAAAAAGUUAUUUUGCAUUCUAAAAGAUGCCAAAUUACCAAAAGGGUGUGCUUCUAACAUAUCAAGUCGCGUGCAAAUUGAAGAUAUGAAAGUCUCAGGAUACAAAAGUCAUGAUGCUCAUUUCAUAAUGCAUUACUUGCUCCAGGUUGCAGUCAGAAAAGUGUUACCCAAGAAUGUAGUCAUGGUCUUGAUUAGAUUGGGGAAUUUUUUUAGAGCCAUAUGUAGCAAGGUAAUAAGAAGAAGCGAUCUUGAUAAGAUGAAAGCAGAAAUCAUAGAUAUUGAAUGCGAGCUUGAAAAGAUUUUUACUCUAUAUUUUUUUGAUAUAAUGACACAUUUGUCUAUCCAUCUAGUAGAUGAAAUUAAGCUUGGAGGCCCGACUCAUUUGCGUUGAAUGUAUUCUACUGAGAGAACUAUGUGUGACUUCAAGGGGCUCGUUCAUAAUCGAAAAAAUCCAGAAGGAUCAAUAGUAGAAGGUUUUUCGGGUGUAGAUUGUUUGAACUUCAUUUCAAUAUACCUACCUAAUACAGUGAAAACUAAAUUAAGUAUGUAUCAAACAGAUAAUGAUGAGGACAUUCAUACAGAGGAAGGUGGUGUUUCACCUUUAUUUCCUAAGACAGGUCAUCGAAUAGGAAAUGAGAAUAUAAGGAAAGGCAAGAUAUUAAUAUGGAGCAACAUGAGUUUGAAGCACAUCGAUAUACUUUUUUCAAUACCGGAGAUGAACAAGUAGAGGCAUUUAUCAAGUAAGAUAAAAUAGUCGUUUGUUUUUAAACUUCAUUUAGAUUUUAUGAUAAUGUAUUUCAAAUUGAAUUUCAUUUAUAAAUACAUAUUAAUUACAUUA